UACGGGGGGGGCAAGCGUUGUUCGGAAUUACUGGGCGUAAAGGGCUCGUAGGUGGCCAACUAAGUCAGACGUGAAAUCCCUCAGCUUAACUGGGGAACUGCGUCUGAUACUGGAUGGCUUGAGUUUGGGAGAGGGAUGCGGAAUUCCAGGUGUAGCGGUGAAAUGCGUAGAUAUCUGGAGGAAUACCGGUGGCGAAGGCGGCAUCCUGGACCGACAUUGACGCUGAACGGCGAAAGCUAGGGGAGCAAACGGG
rnacentral:rRNA from 1 species